rnacentral:rRNA from 1 species
UCGAGCGAACAGACGAGGAGCUUGCUCCUCUGACGUUAGCGGCGGACGGGUGAGUAACACGUGGAUAACCUACCUAUAAGACUGGUAUAACUUCGGGAAACCGGAGCUAAUACCGGAUAAUAUAUUGAACCGCAUGGUUCAAUAGUGAAAGACGGUUUUGCUGUCACUUAUAGAUGGAUCCGCGCCGCAUUAGCUAGUUGGUAAGGUAACGGCUUACCAAGGCAACGAUGCGUAGCCGACCUGAGAGGGUGAUCGGCCACACUGGAACUGAGACACGGUCCAGACUCCUACGGGAGGCAGCAGUAGGGAAUCUUCCGCAAUGGGCGAAAGCUUGACGGAGCAACGCCGCGUGAGUGAUGAAGGUCUUCGGAUCGUAAAACUCUGUUAUUAGGGAAGAACAAAUGUGUAAGUAACUAUGCACGUCUUGACGGUACCUAAUCAGAAAGCCACGGCUAACUACGUGCCAGCAGCCGCGGUAAUACGUAGGUGGCAAGCGUUGUCCGGAAUUAUUGGGCGUAAAGCGCGCGUAGGCGGUUUUUUAAGUCUGAUGUGAAAGCCCACGGCUCAACCGUGGAGGGUCAUUGGAAACUGGAAAACUUGAGCGCAGAAGAGGAAAGUGGAAUUCCAUGUGUAGCGGUGAAAUGCGCAGAGAUAUGGAGGAACACCAGUGGCGAAGGCGACUUUCUGGUCUGUAACUGACGCUGAUGUGCGAAAGCGUGGGGAUCAAACAGGAUUAGAUACCCUGGUAGUCCACGCCGUAAACGAUGAGUGCUAAGUGUUAGGGGGUUUCCGCCCCUUAGUGCUGCAGCUAACGCAUUAAGCACUCCGCCUGG